GUACUUGCUUCGGCAAUACAUAUACUAAAAUUAGAACGAUACAGAGAAGAUUAGCAUGGCAUGGAUGGCAUAAAAUGUAUAAAAAUGGUAAAUUAAAGAUUGCU